rnacentral:rRNA from 1 species
GAUGAACGCUGGCGCGUGCCUAAUACAUGCAAGUCGAGCGAACGGACGAGAAGCUUGCUUCUCUGAUGUUAGCGGCGGACGGGUGAGUAACACGUGGAUAACCUACCUAUAAGACUGGGAUAACUUCGGGAAACCGUAGCUAAUACCGGAUAAUAUUUUGAACCGCAUGGUUCAAAAGUGAAAGACGGUCUUGCUGUCACUUAUAGAUGGAUCCGCGCUGCAUUAGCUAGUUGGUAAGGUAACGGCUUACCAAGGCAACGAUGCAUAGCCGACCUGAGAGGGUGAUCGGCCACACUGGAACUGAGACACGGUCCAGACUCCUACGGGAGGCAGCAGUAGGGAAUCUUCCGCAAUGGGCGAAAGCCUGACGGAGCAACGCCGCGUGAGUGAUGAAGGUCUUCGGAUCGUAAAACUCUGUUAUUAGGGAAGAACAUAUGUGUAAGUAACUGUGCACAUCUUGACGGUACCUAAUCAGAAAGCCACGGCUAACUACGUG